GGAGUGAGUCAGACGACCGCCGCGGAGCGAUCCGGGGAGGAAAGUCCGGGCUCCACAGGGCAGGACGCCGGCUAACGGCCGGGAGGCGUGAGCCUACGGAAAGUGCCACAGAAAAUACACCGCCAAAGCGUGUAAACGCCGGUAAGGGUGAAAAGGUGCGGUAAGAGCGCACCGCGCUCCCGGUAACGGGAGUGGCAGGGUAAACCCCGUCCGGAGCAAGACCAAAUAGGCGCACCAAGCUGUGGCCCGCAGCGUGCGCGGGUAGGUUGCUGGAGCCGGCUCGUAAGGGCCGGCCUAGAGGAAUGGUCGUCCACGACAGAACCCGGCUUACCGACUCACUCCACUU
rnacentral:RNase_P_RNA from 5 species